UAACUUAGUGGCGGACGGGUAAGUAACGCGUGAGUAACCUGCCUUUCAGAGGGGGAUAACGUCCUGAAAAGGACGCUAAUACCGCAUGAUAUAUUUGUGCCGCAUGGUAUGGAUAUCAAAGGAGCAAUCCGCUGGAAGAUGGACUCGCGUCCGAUUAGCUAGUUGGAGGGGUAACGGCCCACCAAGGCGACGAUCGGUAGCCGGACUGAGAGGUUGAACGGCCACAUUGGGACUGAGACACGGCCCAGACUCCUACGGGAGGCAGCAGUGGGGGAUAUUGCGCAAUGGGGGAAACCCUGACGCAGCAACGCCGCGUGAAGGAAGAAGGUUUUCGGAUUGUAAACUUCUUUUCUAAGGGACGAAGAAGUGACGGUACCUUAGGAAUAAGCUCCGGCUAACUACGUGCCAGCAGCCGCGGUAAUACGUAGGGAGCAAGCGUUGUCCGGAUUUACUGGGUGUAAAGGGUGCGUAGGCGGCAAUGCAAGUCAGAUGUGAAAUGCACGGGCUCAACCCGUGAGCUGCAUUUGAAACUGUGUUGCUUGAGUGAGGUAGAGGCAGGCGGAAUUCCCGGUGUAGCGGUGAAAUGCGUAGAGAUCGGGAGGAACACC
rnacentral:rRNA from 1 species